AUGAGGAGCAGGAGAGAGGUAGGUGUGCAGAUGGCCUCAGGCCUUUAUCGCUCUAUCUUGAUGAUCCCAGAGGAAAGAGGUGUUUUUUUCUGUUUUUUGUUUUUUGUUUUUUUCCCCUCCCAACCUCCAUGUAUAAAAUUCCAGGGAAGGACUCUCGUUGGUUUGGCCUCAGUCACACGCCCAAACCUGGGUCAGCGAUCGUGUCUGGGGGCCUGGAUACUGUCACCGGCUAGACCUGGCUCAUGUGUCCCCUGUGGUGGUUGGGGCAGGGCCUUGGGACCAGCAGCCCCACAGGAACAACCUGGAGGGGCAGGUCCCUCAAAGGAAGCUGCUGUUAUCAAGAAAGCAGGGGCAGGGGUGCCGGCCAGUCUUCUCACUCGUGCCGAAUCCCCUUGGACUCUCAGAUCGCCCUCCCAAACACACCUGUCCUCGAGUCGGUGCCCAUCCCUGCCUCCAGGAACCUCUGGGCACUGCCCACAGGCCCUUAAUACCACCCACAUCUCCCCCCAGCCCCUCUUCCAGCCACCCUGGCCUUCUCCCAUUUACCAAGAUCCCAGCUUUCUUCUGCUCAAAUGCAUUCCCCACUUCUGAAUCGAGUGAAUUCCUGUUCAUCUUUCAAACCCCAGCUCAAAUGUCCCCUCCCUUGGGGUGGAUGCUUGUUCCCUUGGCCGGCAUCACGUCUGUCUGUCCUUCCUCCAUCGAUCGCACCAAACCGGACACAGGGGAGUACCGGGGAGCGGAGGGGAGGCACGGACGCCUAUCGGUUGAAUAGCCAGGGAAUGGAUUGCCAGCACCGGCCACCCGGAGGACACCCUGGCAGGGAGAAGCGCCGUCUCGCCUUGGGCACAUUCAGGGGAUGACGGGGUGUGCCUAGCCCGGGGAGGCUUGGGCGGCCCAGACAGUUUUGCAGAGCCCAGUCCCACCCCCAGCGCACACGCUCAAAUUCACACUGACGCGCAUUCACACGCGGGUGGGCAUUGUGCCCCCUCGUCCUGGGCAGCUGGGCUGCCCCUCCCCCCAGGCCACCAAUGACUCACAUCCCCACCCGCCACGGUCUGCUUGGGCACACACAGCCUCCUUUCAGCCCCUCAGCCUCAAACACUAGCUUACUCUUCCCUCCCCGGCGCCUCUCCUUCCCCAGAGCCGGCCUGCCCUCCCAGCCUGGCAGCUGAGCCCCACGGGGAGGCCAUGCAGAGGCCUCCUUCCUCUCCAGAGCACAGGGCUCCCUGUCUCUCGUCACCCGGCUCCUGUCCAAGCCAGCCUUGAAUGGCUGCCUUUUCAUGGCUCAGAGCCUGGCCAGGUGCAUUCUGGGCAGCCCUGCUCCCGCCAGUGUCUGCCAGGAAGCUGUCGGCCCUGGUGCUGCUACCACUGAGGCGCGAGAGCCAGAGGGGCUGGUGAGACUCAGCUUCGGAGAUCCCUCCCAGGCUCUGGUCAAAGGCCUCGUCACGCCUACAGACGCUUCACACACACCUUCCCGUCUGUCUCCUCACCAGGCCUAAAUAGUCUGGCCAGGCACAGAUUAUUAUUAUCAUUCCCGUUCUACUAAGGGGACAACUGAGGCCCAGAGAAAGGUCAACCUGCUGGUGAGUGGUGGAGCUGGGACCCAGUCCUGGUACAGAAGGGUUAAUAACACAAUGCACGUCGCGGGAUUGCGCUGAACGUGAUGAGGUGGCCAGGCCAGGCACCCUGAGGGUUCCUCAAAUUGCCACCGCAUUAUGAUGGUCAGGAAAGCAGUUGUAGGUUUUAUAUUUAGCACCCUUCCUUUUUUUGAUAACAGACCUCCCCCUCUGGUUUGCGGCAGGGCUCUCAACCAGGCCGGGCCAGUCACAGUCCCUUACACCUUCUCUUGCCUCAAGAGUGUUCUCAGUCCAGGGGAGAGGCCUGUGACCUGCGCUGGGCCAGUUAGGGCUCUGCCCUCGGGAGUUUCAAAGUAAACUAGGAGAGGGACACCCCUUUUCUCUCGGAUCAUGGGGGUUUUGAGGGUGUGACUCAACAUAUUGGGAGAGAAAGUGUGUCACAUGCACCCCACGCCCCCUUCACUCAGCAGUGGGAGAGAACAGAACAACACAGAGCAAAACAGAAGCAGAGUCUGCAUGGGGCCAGCAUCGCGGUUCUAGAGGCCUUGUGGUCAGCAAAACAGAGUCCCUCGCUCAAAGAUAUCUAUGCCCUAGUCCCCAGAACCCGUGCCUAUGUUGGGUUAUAGGCAAAAAGGAUGCAAAUGUAACUAAGGUUACAGACCUUGAAAUAGGGUGGCUAGUCUGUGUUACCCAGGGGGGCCCAAUCUAAUCACAAGAGCCCGUGGAAGUAGAGAACCUUCCCUGUCCCAAAGCCGAGGAAAUGCAGCAGGAAGGAAAAUCAGGAAGAUUCCAGGAGUGAGGGGGAUUUGGUGUGCCUUUACCGGUUCUGAAAUAUAGGGAGCCGCCUGCAGCCCCGAGACCGGAGAGAGGUCUCUGUGAGCCCCAGCUGACAGCCAGCAAGGAUACGAGGACCUCCGUCCUGCAACCACAAGGAACCGCGUUCUGCCCACGGUCUGAAUGAGCUUGGAAGCAGAUUGCCCCAGAGCCUCCGAAUAAGAGCCCAGCUGGCCAACACCUUGAUUUUGACCUUGUAAGAUGCUGAGCAGAGAAACUAGCUGAGCCAAUCCACACUUCUGAUCUACAGAGUGUGAGAGAAUAAAUUCGAGUUGUUUUAAGUCA
ensembl:lncRNA